rnacentral:rRNA from 1 species
GAUGAACGCUGGCGGCGUGCCUAAUACAUGCAAGUCGAGCGAACGGGCGAGAAGCUUGCUUCUCUGAUGUUAGCGGCGGACGGGUGAGUAACACGUGGAUAACCUACCUAUAAGACUGGGAUAACUUCGGGAAACCGGAGCUAAUACCGGAUAAUAUUUUGAACCGCAUGGUUCAAAAGUGAAAGACGGUCUUGCUGUCACUUAUAGAUGGAUCCGCGCUGCAUUAGCUAGUUGGUAAGGUAACGGCUUACCAAGGCAACGAUGCAUAGCCGACCUGAGAGGGUGAUCGGCCACACUGGAACUGAGACACGGUCCAGACUCCUACGGGAGGCAGCAGUAGGGAAUCUUCCGCAAUGGGCGAAAGCCUGACGGAGCAACGCCGCGUGAGUGAUGAAGGUCUUCGGAUAGUAAAACUCUGUUAUUAGGGAAGAACAUAUGUGUAAGUAACUGUGCACAUCUUGACGGUACCUAAUCAGAAAGCCACGGCUAACUACGUG